CGUAGUGUUUUAUGUGAAUUUUAUUUUCUAAUCUUCGUACUGUGAUCCAGGCGUUUCAAAGCAAACAGCUCUUUUUAAAAAGGUCUUCGCACGUGCAUCAUUUCGUAAAGGCAUAAAGGCUUUAAAGGGGAUCUUUUGAUGCACAAUUGAAAGGCGUACACGACGUACAUGUUUAAAAGAUACUCAUAUUCGACUCAGUUGUGCUUACUGCAAUUCAACGAUAAAUGUGCUACUUACCAUGAUGUCGAAGGUGUUAAAAAAAACGUAGCCCCAAGAAAUGGUUUCCGAAAAUUCUCUAAUGAAGUUGACUUAUCGCAUAAUUGUGGCACAAAAUUUAACACAUUGAUAUCCAAAUGUUUUCAUCCAGUGUUGAUGACGUUAAUUUAUGAGAAGACGUGGAUACGUCUUAUUGUAUGUAGGCAAAUAAAAUGAACCUGACGGGAUGGUUUAAUGAGCAUGACUAUUGCUCGGGCAACGUUGGAAUAGAUAUUUGAAUACAUGAACCCGAGCGUUCAA